CUCCAGUCUGCAUCUAGACCCUUCUCUACAUAUCUGUGUAACACUCAGUGAUAUCACAGAGGAACCAGAGAGACUUCAUACUUACAGAGCUUCUGCUAAACGACACGACCAGAGCACUGAGAGAUAUCAGGUAUUGCUGUAACUGGAGUGAAUAAGGUAGCCUUCUUCCUGAGCACAGACAUUGGAGCCGGUUAUCAGCAUGAACUCAUAUGUGUUAGAAAAACACUUGAAGAGUUCAUACCCAUCCUUCUCUACAGGAAGCAUCAGAAUGAUACCGCAAACUCGAAAAAGUCUUAGACACCAAUGACUGUUCACAAACAUUGGGGAACUCACAGCUGACAUUUAAAGAAGAUGGUGAAUUGGCAGGAACUGGGAAGCAAUCAUUAUGUACAGAGAGUAAUUUAGUCAUCAAACAAGAGGACAACAUUUAUGCAUUAUCUAGUGAAAUUAUUAUCCCAGAAGAUAAACCACCCACAUUUACUGAGUU